CGGUCAGUCAGUCAUCAGCCACCGAGCACCGAGAGGGACGUCAGGCAGGUCAGUCAGUCCCCAGAGGGACCGGUCAGAGGAUCGGUCAGGUCCCCGCAGAGGACCGGUCAGGUCAGUCAGUCCCCCCCCGCAGAGGACACGGUCAGUCGGUCAGUCAGUCCCCGCAGAGGGACCGGUCAGUCGGUCAGUCAGUCCCCCGCAGAGGGACCGGUCAGUCGGUCAGUCAGUCCCCGCAGAGGGACCGGUCAGUCGGUCAGUCAGUCCCCGCAGAGGGACCGGUCAGUC
rnacentral:lncRNA from 1 species